rnacentral:rRNA from 1 species
UACGGGGGGGGGCAAGCGUUGUUCGGAAUUACUGGGCGUAAAGGGCUCGUAGGCGGCCAACUAAGUCAGACGUGAAAUCCCUCGGCUUAACCGGGGAACUGCGUCUGAUACUGGAUGGCUUGAGUUUGGGAGAGGGAUGCGGAAUUCCAGGUGUAGCGGUGAAAUGCGUAGAUAUCUGGAGGAACACCGGUGGCGAAGGCGGCAUCCUGGACCAACACUGACGCUGAUGCACGAAAGCUAGGGGAGCAAACAGG